rnacentral:lncRNA from 1 species
GUCUGAUGUUCUCCAUUAACAGUUAAUCAGUUUUGAAACUUGAUUGCAAUUAAGACAAUUUCCUAUACUCUACAUCUAAAGAUUGUUAUAUAUGUUUAUCUAUCAACAGUUAUUUAGCUUGAGGCUUGAUUGUAAUUAAAAAUAUUUAGUAAUUACACAGUAUGAUAACUUCUAAAGGAAGAAAAUCAAAAUAUUUAUGAAGCUUUAC